AGCCUCGUAGUGUAGUGGUCAAUCAUGCGGGACUCUGGAUCCUGCGACCGCAGUUCGAAUCUGCGCGAGGCUACCA
rnacentral:tRNA from 5 species